CAACUGUUCAAACCGAGCUCGACGCCGAUUCUCCCCUUUACGGCCCCGCCGGCGAAUCUAGAAUUCGCGUACUCGGACAAAAUUAAUUGUUGAUAAUCUCUCCGGAAAACAAAAGAGAGAAACUAGAUAGGAAAGUAAACAAUUCGGUUUAAAAUCCCAACGUUGCUGCGCCGUGGGCCUUUGAGAGGUCGCCAUCGCAUCCACCUCCGGCGUGGCCAACCGGGGUAGACUGGAGGUUGAGUGGCGUAUUGAAAGUGGGGCUUCCAUUGAUGAAUCUUGUUAGAUUCAAAGGAGUACCCAUUUUGGAGCAACUUCAUUUGGAGGAAAAGCUGCUUCGUGCCUCUUCGGAUAAUUGGUGUAUUGUUAAUGACGGAACAAAUGCCCCUGCCAUAGUCAUGGGAAUUUCCGGGAAGCCUUCUGAACUUCUUGAGAUUGGACCUGUGUUGCAAGAUCAUAUUCCUGUAAUCAAAAGAUUUACUGGUGGUGGUACCGUUAUUGUUGAUUGUGGGACUAUUUUUGUCACUCUCAUAUGCAACAAUGAAGACGUUCCUGGAGUGCAACCAUAUCCUCGUUCUAUCAUGUCUUGGAGUGGUCUGUUGUAUAGUGAAGUGUUUCAAGGGAUUGGCGAUUUUCAACUUCGUGAGAAUGAUUAUGUAUUCGGUG
rnacentral:misc_RNA from 1 species